CAUAUGUAAAAAAAUACAUACCUGUAAUUUUUAGAUUUUGCCGCGCAUGGCCAUUUGAUGUUUUAAAGAGUUCUGUGGUCAUGCACGGUUUUAUUCUGUCAAUGUCAAAUGUCAGCUGUCAAAUUGAAAAAGUGUGGUUGACGACUGAAUUGUUUAGAGGUUAAAAGUUAAAACUAAUUUGAAACGUUUUGUAAUCUAAAUAGCUUUAUAUUGUUUAUUUAAAGAUUGUGCUUGUGAAGGAUUAUAACAUAAAAUGUCGUUUCUUUGAUAACUUUCAGAGCAACAUAUUUGAUUUAAAAACUUCACAAACAUCCAAGAAUAGAACAUUAUACAUAUAAA
rnacentral:lncRNA from 1 species